rnacentral:rRNA from 1 species
GACGUAGGGCGCAAGCGUUGUCCGGAUUUAUUGGGCGUAAAGAGCUCGUAGGCGGCUCGUUGCGUCGGCUGUGAAAACCCACGGCUUAACCGUGGGCCUGCAGCCGAUACGGGCGAGCUAGAGUUCGGUAGGGGAGACUGGAAUUCCUGGUGUAGCGGUGAAAUGCGCAGAUAUCAGGAGGAACACCGGUGGCGAAGGCGGGUCUCUGGGCCGAAACUGACGCUGAGGAGCGAAAGCGUGGGGAGCAAACAGG